rnacentral:rRNA from 1 species
GGAUGAACGCUAGGCGAUAGGCCUAACACAUGCAAGUCGAGGGGCAGCACAUGAGUAGCAAUACGAUGGUGGCGACCGGCGCACGGGUGAGUAACACGUAUGCAACCUACCUUUAACAGGGGAAUAACCCGUUGAAAAACGGACUAAUACUCCAUAACACAGGGGUCCCGCAUGGGAAUAUUUGUUAAAGAUUUAUCGGUUGAAGAUGGGCAUGCGUUCCAUUAGCUUGUUGGUGAGGUAACGGCUCACCAAGGCUACGAUGGAUAGGGGAACUGAGAGGUUUAUCCCCCACACUGGAACUGAGACACGGUCCAGACUCCUACGGGAGGCAGCAGUGAGGAAUAUUGGUCAAUGGAGGCAACUCUGAACCAAGCCAAGUCGCGUGAAGGAUGAAGGUCUUAUGGAUUGUAAACUUCUUUUGAAGGGGAAUAAAGUACGGUACGUGUACCGUUUUGUAUGUACCCUUCGAAUAAGGAUCGGCUAACUCCGUGCCAGCCGCCGC